rnacentral:lncRNA from 1 species
CUAAGCUCCACUGGGUCUUUUCCUGUCGUAACAGAGAGGUGGGGUGACAUUGUCUGGGAGGUUCACACGUUCAGGGAAAGAUCAAGCAUAAAAUUUGAAAGGGACCAAGCAGCAAUGUUAGUAUGUGGUGGGCUCAGUAAUCGACGAUGAACAAAAACGUCAGUUCGAACAUCUAAUCUGCAUGUGGACAGAAGUGCUCUGAGCCCAAGUGGUCAUCAAAGCUGUUCGCCUACUUGAGCCGAACCCCACUAGGAUGAGUACCAACGGCAAUCUUGUUGCGGGACAUGGUACAAGAAUGAUCUCUUCUUCUCAAUGUCUCAGAAAAUGAAGGAAGUGGGGUGUUCAGAGAGGCUGUUCUGUAAUAAAAGAGUUUUAAGACUCAUAAAAAUCAAAUAUGAUGCCUAACCCAUGAAUGGGUUCUCGUGAGAAGAAAAGAACCAUAAAAGCACCAUGUAAUCUGGAAUCUUGGUCCAGCCCUCAUGACCCGUCUGUUCUCUGCCAAGUCUCACAGAAUCUCAUCCUGUGCUGCAGCUCAGUUCAGUAUUCAGUCAAAGACCCAAGGAAAGGAACUCCUCUGGAUGUUUUGGAAGCUACUUUUCUAUAUUUCUCCCCGUUCUGUGGCACCAUGUCCUGCAAAUGCAACUUGCUCCAACAACCUUAGACUCUGAUCUUGGUCCGUUCUACCCAGGGACACUCCUCUUUUCUGCUUGGGCUCCUCUUCCCUGUGCUGCAGCUUGGAAAGUGCUCUCUCAGCUAUAAUAUAGAUCUCAUCUCAUGUGUGGCUUUUCUUUCAAAGAUCACAACCUUGCACUGUCUAUCCAAUACCUGAAAGCAGCUAGUUCAUAUGUAUUGUCCAGUUUUAUGGUUCAUUCCCUGAGAGGGCAAGCCCAGUCAUCCUUACUCCAUCUUGCCUAGAACUAGAAGUGACUUCAACUUGCUUAUUAAUCUCUGAACUUCAGGUUCAUCAACACCUGUGGCAUGAGGCUUUGGGCUAGACCAGUACAUCUGAUGUGUAACUCUGCCCAUAUUCAGAGCUGUUUCUCAGUCCAAGCCACUUUCUCCACCUAUAAUAUGGGUUUCCAGUAUAAAAGUUGGAUUUGAUCUCUUGAAUAAACUCUUCUGCAGUUACAGAAACUUUUGAACUAGAAGAAUCAUCAGGCAUUACACAGUCAAUAUUUUUAUGGCUAAGGUGCACAUUAUUUUAAAAUUUAUAAAGCACUUUCACAUACAUAUUUCACUAGUUUAUAGAUGUUUUCUGUUUUGUGAAUACAAGCCAAGCUGAUACUAUCCGUCUUUUAUAAGGUUCUGAAAAGGUAUGUGGCUGAAGAAAGGUUCCUUAGCAGAUCAGAGGCACAGCCUGGAUUUAAAUCAGUCUAAGCUCAGGGCCUUCCCACAAAACGACACCUCUGAGUUUAUGUGAAAAGUGAGGAAGUUAUCACAGGUCUUCAAGGUCCUACCACAUUUUUCACUUCUUUGGCCAUUGCAGCAGCGCUGGCGAAAGUUCUCAUGAGCAGCUUCUGUGAAGGUGUGUGGUGGGGGAAAAAACAGUGUUUGAUUAUAUCAGUCAGGAUUGGCUUGGGUACACUGGGUAACAAACAAUCCCUCAAAUCUCAGUGGCCUAAACUAGCAAAGAGUCACUUAGUUUUCAGGCUGUUUGUCCGUGAUGGUUAGGCAGGGGCACCGAGGGUCCCAGGCAAGUGGAGUAGCCGUCAUCUCAAAUGUCGCCGAUGCCGUGUUAGAGCGACAAAAAGAAUUCUGGAGGACCUCAAGCUGUCAGUUAGUGUUCUUGUGUGUGUGUCCCUUCUACCUGUGACC